rnacentral:pre_miRNA from 1 species
GAGGAAUCCCCAUGGAGCAAGGCUUUCUUCAGUGGGGCUUUGGUGCUCACUGAGUCUGCCCCUUAAGUGUGUCACU